ensembl:lncRNA novel transcript
CAUUUUCUCUUUGUGGAGGCUGGGUUCGCGUGCUCUUCUGAGCUGUGGUCGUCAUGGACCGGAAGCGUGUGCGGCGCGCCUGCCUUGAGGCCAGCAUCAGGGAAGGGUGUCCCAGGUGCAGGCGAAGCUUCCUUCAGGUGCUCCUGGAGGACUUUUGGCUCGCAAGCGCUUCUCCAUUCUCCCAACGUCUCGGGCCUGGUGAGUCUGGAUGUGAGCGCAUCCCACGGGGCCCAAGGCACAGAGAGAGGGAGGAACGGGGUGGAGGGAGGGAAGCGUGUGCAGGGGCCAGGAGCGCCAGGCUGCUCGGGCUUCCCGGCCCCCGCAGCCCGCCAGGAGCUGUGGCCCCGCUCGUGCCAAGGCAGAGGCCUGCCCUCCUGCUGCUGGCGCUGUCACCUCCCCGUGCUCCUGCCUCCUGAGUCCCUGAGGGCCUCCUGUCAUCUGGAACUGGAAAUGUUAGUGAAGUGACGUUUUGUGAAUAUUUAUUGGCCUUUGCGUCUUUGUCUUCAUUUUCAGUGCUGGCUUUUCUGUUGGGUCAUUUGUAUUCUUACGUUGAUUUGAAGAAUUUAAAAAGGUAUUCUAUAAAUUAAUCCUUUAUGGGGUCAUUUGUAGUGCAGAUAGUUGUUUCUUAGUCUGGUCAUUGUACCUUAAUUAUAUUUCACAUUUCUUUCUUGCUGGUAAAUAAGAAGCUAAUUGAUUUUAUAGAUUGAUUUUGUAUCGUGUUACCUGGCUUAAUUCACAUAUUCAUAGCCAUCAUUUUUGGAUUGUGGUGGGUUUUUCAUGUACUUAUGUACAUGUAGUUAUGUACUUACGUACUUACGUACUUAAAUACUUACGUACUUAGUGUCAGCCACGCGUGUGUCUCCAUCCUUGUGCCUGAAGCCUGUAUCUUCUCUCCAGUAUCACCAUCCCGUAAUGACUGAAGCCCACGUCUGCCCUUGUGUAUUGUCACCUGGUCUGUCCUCUGCCUGCACUUUAUGCCCCCUGUCAGAAGUCUCCAUUUCUUGGUCCUGCAGCCCGUGCCAGCCGUGUGAGUCUCCAUCCUGUGUGCUUGCAGCACAUUGCUUGCCUUGAAUGUUGCCAUCUCCUUAGCCUUCAGGCAGUAGCAGUCCUCCAGUGCCUCAAUCCCUGUGUUUGCAGCCCAUUCUGAUGUUUUUGUCCGUCUGUCCCCUGAGCUUCUGCCCAUGCCAGCUUAUGUUUGCUACAUUCUCUGUCCCCCUAAUCCGUGUCCACAGUCAGUGUUUUCAUCCAUGCUUUUUGGGCCAUGUCUGCACUCGUGUGUCUCCUUCCCCUGUGCCUUCAGCCCAUUUCUGUCCUUUUUCUGGAUCAUUUCUCCCGGGAGACUAUGCCCAAAACUCCUAUCCCCAGUGUUUGUACGUGCAGCCAGUCUAUUUCGUUGAGUAUCUCCGUCUGUUGUUACUGCAGCAGAGGCGUGUCAUUGAGUGUGCCUGCUUCCCAUGCCUGUCUUCCUGUGUCUCCAGCCCUUGUCCAUGCAGCCCACAUUAGGACUCUUGUGACUCCACCCUUCAGCCUACAGCCACAUCUACCUUCGGGUAUCUUUAUCUCUGUGCCCCCUGCCCACGCCAACCUUCACCUACUCCUCUAUCCUGCACCUUUACCCGUGUCUGUCCCUGGUGUGCCUCUCUGCCAUGCAGCUGUAGCCAGCGAGCUCCCUUUUUGUCUGGAUCCCCUGUGAUUGUAGCCCAGGUCUUCUCUCCUGUGCCUGCAGCCCGUGUCUGCCCUUGAAUGUCCCCAUCCUCUGUGCUUGUCACCCACUGGCCAGGCCUAGCAUGUUUCCACUCUGUGCCUACACCCAUGUCUGCCUCCAGGGUCUCCACUCAUGGUGCCACAGUUUGGUUCCCGGUCCCUAUCCUCCUGGGGUGGAUUCUGGCAUUGUGUUGGGAGGGAGAAGGUGACCCAUGAAAGCGAAGCCUGGAAUGAUGUAAUGGGCAAGGAGGCUGCCAUUCAGCAGGCUGCACAGUGGCAGAGAAGACAUGGCCAGUCAGAAUCCUCCCUGCAUCGGGGCACUCACGUGGGGCUGUGCCUGGUGUGGGGAGUAAGGGGAAGCUGGAGUAGGAGGUCUGGAGCCACCUGGCCCUCUUGGGCCUGAGACCCUCCCCACUGCAGGGGCUCCAUCACUUCCCUGGUGGUCCUGCCUCCUGGGAUCCUGCCCUGCAGUGUUUCUGCAGGGAUCCUCUCACCUGGAACUUGCAGUGGCGGGUUUCAUGUGAGGUAGAGUUUAGCAAAUGUUUAUUGGCGUCUGGGCCUUACUUUUCUUCAUAUGCUUUGCUCAUUUUGUGCGUGUUUUUGUAGGGUCCUUUUUUUAUAUUUAUUUGAAGGAUUUAUCUUAAAUCUGCAAAUUGAUCCUUUAUUGGCUCAUUUUUGUCAUAGAUACUUGUUCUCUAGUUUGAUCAUUAUUUUCUAUUGGUUUCAUACUAGUAUAUAGUAAUCUGGUUGAUAACAAUAAUGUAUCCAGUAAGUUAUUAAUUGAAACAGUUUUGGGGUUUCCAAGGAUUGUCUAGGCAUGUAAUAGUGUCAUAUACACAUAAUGACAAUUUUUUUUGUUUAAAAAUUAAUCCUAAUGCCUUUUUAUUUCCUACUGUAUUGUUUCUCCACUACAAUGCUGAUUAAAGAGUGAUAGCAGGCAUCCUCGUCUGUUCUUGCACUGGGGGAAAAAGCUUCCCAUAAUUCUCUGUUAGUUAUGUUAUUUGUUAUUGGCUAGUAUUAGACUUUAUCAGAUUUCAUCAAAUUAAGGAAGUUGCUUUUUUUUUUUUGAGAUGGAGUCUUGCUCUUGUUGCCCAGGCUGGAGUCCAAUGGCUCGCUCUCAGCUCACUGCAACCUCCACCUCCUAGGUUCAAGCGAUUCUCCUGCCUCAGCUUCCCGAGUAGCUGGCAGGGAAAACCCAGCUGCAGCCUAGACCUAGCCCAGAUAGUAAAUUAGCAGGGCUGGGAGUCUCUGUCAUAUCAGCAGUCAUAUGUCUUAAAACCAGAAUCUACCCAGAUUAUAUAUAUAUAUCUUGUAUCUGCCGCUGCCAUUACCUUCUUUUCACUUUAUGUCAAAAAAAGGAAAAGAAUCCCAGCACUGAGGCAGGAGGAUUGCUUGAGCCCAGGAGUUUAAGUCUGCAGUGAGCUGUGAUAGCACCACUCCACUCCAGCCUGGGUGACAGAGGGAGACCCUGUCUGAAAAAAAGAAAAGAAAAGAAAACCUGUCAUGUUACUGACC